GACGAACGCUGGCGGCGUGCUUAACACAUGCAAGUCGAACGGUAAGGCCCUUCGGGGUACACGAGUGGCGAACGGGUGAGUAACACGUGGGUGAUCUGCCCUGCACUUCGGGAUAAGCCUGGGAAACUGGGUCUAAUACCGGAUAGGACUCCGGACUGCAUGGUCUGGGGUGGAAAGCUUUUGCGGUGUGGGAGGGGCCCGGGGCCUAUCAGCUGGUUGGUGGGGUGAUGGCCUACCAAGGCGACGACGGGUAGCCGGCCUGGGAGGGAGACCGGCCACACUGGGAGUUAGAUGCGGCCCAGACGCCUACGGGAGGCAGGAGUGGGGAAUAUUGCACAAUGGGCGCAAGCCUGAUGCAGCGACGCCGCGUGAGGGAUGACGGCCUUCGGGUUGUAAACCUCUUUCAGCAUCGACGAAGCGAAAGUGACGGUAGGUGCAGAAGAAGGACCGGCCAACUACGUGCCAGCCGCCGCCGUAA
rnacentral:rRNA from 1 species